rnacentral:rRNA from 1 species
GAUGAACGCUAGCUACAGGCUUAACACAUGCAAGUCGCGGGGCAGCAUGUCGGUUGCUUGCAACCGAUGAUGGCGACCGGCGCACGGGUGAGUAACGCGUAUCCAACCUGCCCUUCACCACGGAAUAAUCCAGUGAAAAUUGGUCUAAUACCGUAUGAGGUCAUACGAUGGCAUCAGAAUAUGACGAAAGGUUUGGCGGUGAAGGAUGGGGAUGCGUCUGAUUAGCUUGUUGGUGAGGUAACGGCUCACCAAGGCGACGAUCAGUAGGGGUUCUGAGAGGAAGGUCCCCCACAUUGGAACUGAGACACGGUCCAAACUCCUACGGGAGGCAGCAGUGAGGAAUAUUGGUCAAUGGGCGAGAGCCUGAACCAGCCAAGUAGCGUGCAGGAAGACGACCCUAUGGGUUGUAAACUGCUUUUAUAUGGGGAUAAAGUGAGCUACGUGUAGUUUAUUGCAGGUACCAUAUGAAUAAGGACCGGCUAAUUCCGUGCCAGCAGCCGCCGCCG